UCGAAUACUAUACUAAAUAAUAUAAAUAUUUCAACUGAAUAUUGAAGAAAGGGAUCAUAGAUUUGGAAAACCAUAACGAAUUUUAUUAUAAAAAAGCUAUUCCACAAGUUUAGAUAGCCUCAAAAAUCCUGAUAUACGUUUCUGUUUGUUAUUUUAAAAAGUAAUAUCUCAAAACCUAAGUGAUACAUUCAUUUUAAAGUCGGAUUUGAAUUAAGACUAUCAAAACCCAUUGCAAAAGUGUAAUUUUAUUUCCAGUGUGAUAAUCUUAACGACCAGUUAAAAAUCUGAGCAUUUUGAAAUCGCAAAUUGACACAAAUUUUAAAACAUUUAGUAAAAUGUUAAAUACAUUUAUAGCAAUUUACUAAGCUUAAAAGAUGAUUUACUUAAUUUUAAACGUUUUAAGUAUCUCAUUAUCUCUUAAAAAUGUUGCUAAAGUUAAAAUCAAGGAAUAUCUUCUCUAACUUUUUGCUUAAUCUAUAUGACUUCUUUACAAUUAUUCUUUUAAGAGCAGUGGAUAGAAUGGUCCAGUUAACAGUUGUGAAUUCCAAUUACUAGGCUUGUAAGGCUUUCACACCAAGCGCAAAACCCGGUUUCGUUGAAAUUAUAGGUUUUGGCCGAAAAACUAAAUCGAAAACUCAAGUUUUCCCAUAAAUUUUGUUUAAACCACAAGUUUUCGUAAACCACAAGUUAGACUAAUCUCGAAAACUAAUAGCAAUUUAAAGUUUAACUAAACAAUCAAAUCUUUCGAAACAUUCAGCGCUCAAAUUAAUGUAAACAAAACAGCUGAUGGCUACUGUCAAAACAAAUAUUUCAUUUUGAAAUAAAUUUGGUCGUAAAUUAAGUCACAGCGGGUUAGGACAAAACAUUCCACAAUGUGGGAAUCAUUGUUCCAGUGAAUAAAACUACAGCAAGGGACUAUCGCCCCUUGAUGGACAGCGAUGCCAACAUCAAGAAGAUCCUCAGUCCUUUGGACAAGAUAGGCGAGUCCUCAAAGGACAAAGCCAAAGAGAUAGUCAUCACUCUGGAUAAGUGUGAUUUUGGUACAUAUCUGGAACUAGGAACUGACAUUUUCUGCUCCGGCCAUAAGGACCUACACGAAAUCGUUCAGAAUCUUUUCAACCCCACCUAUAAGUUGCCCGGACGGCCACAAUAUAUGGCGAUUCUGAAGAGACAUUUGGUCAGUAGAAGCAAUAGUCAUAAGCUCAGUAUUUUGGAUUGAAUUUGUUGUGUAAGAAGAAGAAAAUGUUUUAAAUAAAAUGAAUUUGUAUUGUAA